rnacentral:rRNA from 1 species
UACGUAGGGUGCAAGCGUUAAUCGGAAUUACUGGGCGUAAAGCGUGCGCAGGCGGUGAUGUAAGGCAGGUGGGAAAUCCCCGGGCUUAACCUGGGAACUGCAUUUGUGACUGCAUCGCUGGAGUGCGGCAGAGGGGGAUGGAAUUCCGCGUGUAGCAGUGAAAUGCGUAGAUAUGCGGAGGAACACCGAUGGCGAAGGCAAUCCCCUGGGCCUGCACUGACGCUCAUGCACGAAAGCGUGGGGAGCAAACAGG